UGUCUAUGCGGCACAGGUACUUGCCGAAGC
rnacentral:sRNA from 1 species